rnacentral:lncRNA from 1 species
AUAGAUAGAUAGAUAGAUAGAUAGAUAGAUAGAUAGAUAGAUAGAUAGAUAGAUAGAUAGAGAAGGUUUGUUGUAAAUCUGUUAUUGCUGACUUAUUUUUGUAGUAUUUAGUAAAACCAUUGGAGUUUGAGCAAGCCUAACUCAAAGUUGAACUUCUUCCACUGUGACAGGAGAAAGGAGAUCGGGACCUCACACUUCCAGAAGAACCUCUCCCCCUUCUCACCAGCCUGUCAGGAGGAGAGAUGCUCUCCACGUUGGCCUGCGCCUCGUCACCCAGCAGAGGGAGCUAAAGAAGCUUCAGGGACGAGUUAAGAAAAACGCUUCCUCCAGCAAAGAGCAGCGUCCAGAGAAGAGAAAGUCUCAUAUUCCAGGCGCAGGCUUCCAGCAGCCCACGGUUUCCUCUCGGCUCCGAGUGAACCAGCUCCCUGAAAAGCAACACUCAGUGCCCUGGAUUCCAACAUCCCCCCACUCUCCACCUCCACAGCGAUCUCCUCAGAGAGGGAUAUCAGAGCCUCGCUGCCUCUUCUCUCCAGUGAAGCCCCCACUGAGCCCCCCCAAAGCAGCAGGUGGGGGGUGGAUUGGACACAGAGCUGACUCUGAGCCCAGCUAAGGCAAAAGAAGCCCAGAACGAAGCAUUAAGGAAAGCUUGGCUGGAUAAGUUGACUGUGCAGAGACAGAAGGAGCUGAAUCAUUUCACUAUAGAAGAGGCUGAACGGAUCCAGAGGUUAAGGUAUGUCACUGAUAUAAUUACCGUACUCUAAUUGGUAUACAUCUGAGGUCUGAAGGGCAGUUGAAGGUCACAUUGUAGAAGUUAGCAGUAGUUAUAAAAAAAUACACUCACAACAAAAAUGACAUUUUUAUCAACAUUAAAACAAACCGGAAUCACUUUUGAAUUCAUGGACAAGAGAUUUUGACCAGUGAGAUAGAUUUCAAAAAUAAAAGCUCCAUAAAAAAAUGUAUGUGAAACAAAAACACAGCUUCAAAUAAGAAAUACUAGUCAUUAUAUUUAAAUCAGGAGUAAUUAUGUAUUUUUUUUCAAUGGAAAACUUCCAGACAAGUAUUUACUAAUCUUGUUUCUUCUUCAUUUUUUUAUUCUGUUGUCCUUAUAUUUAACACAAUAAAUAAGUCAUGUAAAGGCAGAUAUGUAUCUGUUACUGCAUGCUCUGACCUUGGACUCAUCUCUAACUUAGCCAGCAGCUACUGGCAAGAUAACACAAACUGUCAAACGUGUAUAUUUUUCUCUUUAUACAAUCCUGGACUCCAAUUAUAUGGAAAUGCACCCAUAAACUUUUCUAGACUGAUGAAUGCAACAAUUGCUCCUAAAAAAUGCUCAUGUUUGUCCUCCUUGGCACCAUUUUAGCAUACAAGAGCUACAGAUUAAAAAAAAAAAAAAACUUAAAAUGUGGCUUUUUGUGACUGUCACUUGCUGAUGAUCAAUUUGUCAAUAUAAUUUGAUUAGUAGCAUCGCACAUUGUCUUAUCUCCUCAUUUUUAUAACAUUUUCAGGGUGUUGUUACUUUCUUUUCCCAAAAUCUCUGUUAAUCUCUAUGAACCUGAUGAGAACCGAAUGAUUUAUGACCUGAUGAAUCAUUCGAUUAAAGUAAUCUACUAAACAGCCGAGCUCAUCAAUAAGAGGGUCUCGUGCAUUUUCACUACACUGUUCGUGUUUAUGACACAAUAACCUUCAUGGAGGCUUUGCAGAGGUCAGUUUGUCCUCGUUAGAUUUCAAUUUCUCAAGGAAAAAAAAUGAAAUGCAAGAAGAUAAUCUGGUGAAACAAUACUUUUGUUGCUACUAAUAAAAUAAUGUUAUCAGGUUGUCAAUUGAACAAAAAACGUUUCCGUUUUCCUUUCUUCAGCCUCUCUAGAAUUGGAUUUGACAGUAAAUCCGAAAUAUUGCAGAUAUGCCUUUGCGGCCCCCUGUGUCAUGCUGUAGGUAUGGUUCUUAGUAUUUAUUAUUAUUUUUUGAUCUGGUGGAAGUGCUGAUUCAGUUGUCUGGACAGAAUCAGGCCGCUGUGAAGUGAGUUGUUGUAAAGCUCUGGAACCACUUAAAUGUCAUUUUUUUUGUACACGCUCAGAUUAAAAAUCAUUCUCUUUCUCCCGAAAUCCAUCAAGCAAAACAUGAUAUGCUGAGCUCGUCUGUGUUAACUCAAAUUAAAACAUUUGCUCUUCUACUUCCCAUCAUGCCUCUGUAUAUUAAGAGCUGCAGACUUGAGCCCCUGUUUGCCAGCUCAGGUUCUACUGUUGGCUGAUGGUUGCCUUUUUGAAGCCUGCCUGUGCUUUGGGUGCUGCCAGUUGGUCCUGCGUGGUUUGGUUGGGUUGGGUUAGAUCUUGGGUGGGAGGUCUCAGGGCAGGAUGCAGUAUAUGCCAGUCACCAUUUUACCGUUUUUAAACAGUUUACCAUAUUACCAUUUAGAAACUGUAAAUUCAAUUGAAGCAGUUCAAUUGUGUGUUUUUUGUAUCUGUGUGUUUUGGUUAAAAGGUCUGAAGUCAUCUCAGCUCAAACAUCUGACGAAGAGAAGACGACCAAAGAGAGGACCCGGCCUCUCUUCUCUGAGGGUCCUCAGGUGAGAACCACGAUGGAGGAUCUUCAACACAUUUCCCCCCACCAAACAGUGCUUACAUGAGCCUUUUUCAAUUUUAAAUCUGCGUCAGCAAAAUCAAUAGCUCUUUGUUUUUUGUUGCGUUGUAUCCCAUCUUAAAAGGCAAAGACAGACAUCACAGUUGCCGUUGUUAAUUUGCUACAGCAGAUCGAAGAGAAAAUAAACCAGAUCAAUGCAUCUUUAGGAUUCAGUUAGCUCGCUGCAACAAAUUAAAGUUUGUUGCUUUUGAAACUUUUCAUUUGGUAAGAAUUUCGUACUAAUGGCUUCAUAGUUCUGGACCAUAAUAAAUAUAGA